CGGGGGCGCUGGGAGGCUCCAUGCCGUAGGCGCCGAGCGAGAAGGGGCAGCAGAGGAAGGAGAAGGUGAAGCUGAAGAGCAAGGUAAUUUUUUUUCUGCAAGAGCCUGAGGGAAAUUUUUUCAGGGACCUAAUGGGAAGAAGUAGCAGCAAUAAUCCAAAAAAUGAUGAAAGCUCUUUCUGAGGAUGUAAGUAACUCAAGUACCACUCCUGAUGGUGCAGGGAUUGCAUGCACCAUUUUACAAACCGGUUGUAAAACUGGUUUUACAAACCAGGACUCCCCAGAUGGAAAGCAGCUUGGCAGAAAUGGACCUGGUGACUACCAAGUUGCAUAUAAGCCAGUGAUAUGGCAAGAUGGCAAAGAUGAAUAACGGUAUCUUGGGAAGCACUGGAAAAACCUCUGCUCAGCACUGGUGAAGCCUCAUUGGAGUCCUAUGUCCAGUUCCGGGCUCCACAGUACAAGACAGACAUGGAUGUAUGGAAGAGAGCCAGUGGAGGGCCACAAAGAUGGCUAAGGGACUGUGAAGGAAGGCUGAGAGAUCUGGGACUGUUCAGCCUGGAGAAGAGAAGGUUCUGGGGAUCUUAUCAAUGUCUGUAAAUAUCUAAAGGGAGGGUGCAAAGAGGAUGUAGCCAGGCUCUUUACACUGGUGCCCAGUGACAGAACUAGAGGUAAUGGACACAAACUGAAACACAGGAAGUUCCCUCUGAUCAUCAGGAAACACUUUUUUACAGUGAGGAUGACUGAUCACUGAGACGCGCUGCCUAGGGAGAUUGUGGAAUCUCUGUCCUUGGAGAUAUUCAGAAGCCACAUGGACAUAGUCCUGGAUAACUGGCACUGGUUGGCCGUGCAGGCAGGUUGGACUAUAUGACCUCCACAAUUCCUCUCCAAUCUCAAUGUUCUGUGAUGCUGCAAUUCUGUGACGUAUGUGGAGAAGGGACUGUUAAUCACUCUGGUGCAACCCCGUUCCAAGUGGUAGGUUAUUAAUAUGAGCAGAAAUUGUCUCCUACAAUUUCUACAUCAUAUUAAAAGAGAAAAAUUAAAAUAAUUCAGUCUGUCAAAGAAAAAGCAGAUUGGACAAUGCAAGAUCUGCCCUAAGAAAUAUAUCUAAUGAUUGCAAAAUACAAAAGUAUAGCUGCAUUUUCUGAUACACCUGAUCCUUAAGGAUUAGCUGUGUUACAAGCUUCUCAUGAGAUUACAGAACAGUUAAAGGACCAAUUAGUUUAGAGGUGCUAGCUGUUCAUACCCAUAGCUUCAGUGACAGGAAAACCCUUAACUCCGUCAAAACCAGUAUUCUCAGAACUUGUAGUUUUGAAAAAACAGGUAAAAACCCUGGGUCUCUAGAAAAUAUGCCAAAAGAAAAGAGGUAUGGAAACAUUAUUUUAGCACUCCAGUUUUAUGCAUCAGUUGAAUGGGAGAUUUGGAGACUGUAACUUGUGUUUAGAUUCUUAAUUUGGUUGCCUAGAUCACUCAUGAGAUCUGACCUAGAAUGUGAAAAUUUGCAUGCAUGAGCAAAUAUCAGAGUACAGUAUCAAGCUGAUCUUCACAAAUUUUGAAAUAUUCUGCCUGGAAAUUAUUUCAUAGCAUAGCUUUUGAAAUUUAUAAUAUGAAGUUUAUAAUCUGCAUUUGUAUCCUUUGCAUUUUACACAGAAGUAUUAUUUGUCUUUUAAAUAUAUUGCAAUUUAUGUCAA